UGGGGCGUGAUCCAAAUGUGCGGCAGUAAAUCAGUCACGCCACGGUCAAAACUUUGCGGUGAAAAAAAAUGUAUUCGCAAUUCUAUCGGAUGCGCACCGGUUGACAUCAAACAUGAAAAAGAUGCAUAUAAUUUAGUUAUAAUGUAAAUAUGUGUAUUCUUCUGCAAGCAAGAGUUUACCCGUAUCGUUGAAAUAUUUGACACCAUUGCAAUAAACCGCAAGGAACAGAGGAUCCAUUGAAUAUUGAGGAGCAAGCAAGAUGUCCAAUGGUCCACUGUCAUCUGACACGCUCAUCAAACAGGAGCAAGAAGAGGGCCUAGAACAAGGCACUACAGCUCCAGAUGACCAACUCCCUGAGGAAACACACCCUGGAAGAAACAGAGAAGGAAGGGAAGACAGGAGAGGUGCUGGUCUGCUGUUAAGACUGAGGAUGUCUCUGGGUCAGACUCCAGUUGGUGCUGCAGACUGUGUCAGCGCUGCUUCAGUUCCUCCUGGCAGCUGACGGGACACUGUUGUUCUGGCAUCGCGGGGGAGGACCGGGUUGCCCACGGCCACAAGGUCAAACUGGAGUUCCAGUGCCCAGUGUGUGGCGACCGCUUCCUCCACGCCUUCAUCAUGCACAAGCGCAGUCACAUGGGCCAGUCCCAGUACGUCUGUGGGGUCUGUGGACGGACGCUCAAGAGCCUGUGCAUGCUGUCCUCCCACAAG